rnacentral:lncRNA from 1 species
UGCACCAUUUGGCAUUGUAUAAAAUUAAUCGGCUACAGCUUUAACUCUCUGCAACAAUUUCUAAACAUUUUGAAGAGUAACCACCACUGGAACUCCUCCAAACAUAUUCCUGGGAGUCAAUAGGUGGGACUUUCCAUCUUGCAAUACCUGAAGUGAGAGGACAUGAUGAAGUCCUCUGAGACGAUGUAGAAUCGGAUGAUUAUGUGUAUUGUUAACAACAGGAGAAAUACAUGUGCACUUACUUCAAGGUGUGAAUAAAAGUCCUAGAAUAUAAUCAAAGAUCCAUUCCUAUGAUAUCAUCAUUAAAACACAGUAUUCCUGAAAAAAUAUCAUCAAAACUUGGUAUCAUGAUGAAAUACAGUAACAUUUUUCUUUGUUUUCUUUGUUACCAUACAUUUUGAAGAGUAACCACCACUGGAACUCCUCCAAACAUAUUCCUGGGAGUCAAUAGGUGGGACUUUCCAUCUUGCAAUACCUGAAGUGAGAGAACAUGAUGAAGUCCUCUGAGACGAUGUAGAAUCGGAUGAUUAUGCGUAUUGUUAACAACAGGAGAAAUACAUGUGCACUUACUUCAAGGUGUGAAUAAAAGUCCCUAGAAUAUAAUCAAAGAUCCAUUCCUAUGAUAUCAUCACUAAAACACAGUAUUCCUGAUAAAUAUCAUCAAAACUUGGUAUCAUGAUGAAAUACAUGUUAUCGAUUGUCCGUGUUCAAAGCAACGAGAAACUGGAAACCAGUAAGAAGAAGAGACACAAAAAAAAAAAAAACACAGAAAUGAAGAAAUCCGAGUAAUAUCAAUUACGUACACUGCGAUCUUUUGGCUUGUGUUCUUCGGAAUAAAAACAUUACUGCUAUAAGUCAAGGAAUUUGGGAAAAAUCUAUAUUCCUCUUAUUUC